GCUGCCAGAUAGCUCACUCGGUUAAAGCAUGGCACUGCAACUAGCAAGGCGCGUGAUCGAGCCCCGCUCGUACCA